rnacentral:rRNA from 1 species
CCUACGGGUGGCAGCAGUGAGGAAUAUUGGUCAAUGGGCGAGAGCCUGAACCAGCCAAGUCGCGUGAGGGAGUACUGCCCUAUGGGUUGUAAACCUCUUUUGUCGGGGAGCAAAAGCCGGACGUGUCCGGCUGUGAGAGUACCCGAAGAAAAAGCAUCGGCUAACUCCGUGCCAGCAGCCACGGUAAUACGGAGGAUGCGAGCGUUAUCCGGAUUUAUUGGGUUUAAAGGGUGCGCAGGCGGAUUUUUAAGUCAGCGGUAAAAUCGUGGGGCUCAACCCCAUCCAGCCGUUGAAACUGGGGAUCUAGAGUGUGCGAGAGGUAUGCGGAAUGCGUGGUGUAGCGGUGAAAUGCAUAGAUAUCACGCAGAACCCCGAUUGCGAAGGCAGCAUACCGGUGCACAACUGACGCUCAGGCACGAAAGCGUGGGUAUCGAACAGGAUUAGAUACCCGUGUAGUC